UUGUCGAGUGACCGCUACGAAACCCGAAU
rnacentral:sRNA from 1 species